UUCUGGUUUGAUGACUAUCUUUAGUGUUGUAUUUGAGUUGAUUUUUCUUAUUUGUUUGUGUAUCAAUUGUAGAUUUUUGGUUUGCAGUUUUUCUAAAGUUUUGAUAUAAGAAUCUAUACUUAUAUGAGAUUGUUUUCAGUUGUUGGUCUCUUAAUUGCAAGUGCAUCUCCAGUGUCCUGCAUUUGUACCCACUUCUUGUGAUUUCUGAUUUUGUUGGCAUAAUUGUGUGUGGAUGAUUUCUGACCUUUACUGUAUGUAUACCUUUACUGGUGAGCCUUGUCAUUUGUGGUAUUUUUGUUUCCUGUUGUGGCCUUCUCUUUUCUGCCUAGAGAAGUUCCUUUAUAUUUGUUUUAAAGCUAGUUUAGUGUUGCUGUUGCUGAAUUCUCUUAGCUUUUGCUUAUCUGUGAAGCUUUUGAUUUCUCCUUCAAAUAUGAAUGAGAGCCUUGCUGGGUAAAGUAAUCUUGGUUGGAGGUUUUUUUUCCUUCCAUCACGUUUAGUAUAUCAUGACACUCCCUCCUGGCCUGAAGAGUUUCUGCUGAAAAAUCUGCCCAUAACCUUAUUGGGGUUCCCUUGUAUGUUAUUUGUUUCUUUUCCCUAGCUGCUUUCAAAUUUUCUCUUUGUAUUUAAUUUUGGUCAGUUUGAUCAAUAUGUGUCUUGAUGUAUUCCUCCUUGGGUUUAUUUUAUAUGGUACUUGUUGCACUUCCUGUCUUUGAGUGAGUGGUUCCUUUCCCAUGUUAGGAAAGUUUUCAGCUAUUAUCUCUUCGAGUAUUUUUUCUGUCCCCUUCUCUCUCUCUCUUCUCCUUCUGGCACCCCUAUAAUACGGACGUUGGUGUGUUUAAUGUUGUCCCAGAGUUCUCUGAGACUCUCUUCAUUUGUUUUCAAUCUUUUUUCUCUUUUCUCUUCUGCAUUCGUAAUUUCCACUAAUCUGUCCUCCACCUUGCUUAUUCAUUCUUCUGCCUCCUGUAUUCUACUGUUAGCUGCUUCUAGUGAAUUUUUUAUUUCAGUUGUUGUAUUUUGCAUCUCUUCUUGUUUAAGUUUUAUAUCUUGUAUCUCUUUGCUCUGUGUUUCCUGUAAGUUAUCCAUCUUUGCCUCUAGUUUAUUUCCAAUGUCUUGUGUCAUCUUCAGCAUCAACAGUCUAAAGCCUUUUUCCUGGAGGCUGAGAAUCUCCUGAUCACUUAGCUGAUUUUAUGUUUUUUUUCCUUUCUCCCUCAUCUGAGUUAUAGUUCUCUGUCUUUUCAUUUUUUUAGGUUUUUGGUGUGUUGACCUUUUACAGAUAAUAGAGUUGUAGCCUCUCUUACUUCUGCUGUCUGCCCCCUUGUGGCUGAAGUCGGUAUGGGAGCUUACUGUAGGCUUCUUGAUGGGAGGAACUGAUGCCUGCCCACUGGUAGGUGGAGCUUAUUCCUAUCCCUCCUUGGUGUGUGGGGCUUUGUCUUUGGAUGGGAUUAGAAGUGGCUGUGUGCCUGGGGGGUCUUUAGGCAGCCUGUUUACUGAUGGGUGGGGCUAUGAUCCCACCUGGAUUGUUGUUUGCCCUGGGGCUUGUCAGCAUUGAUUGGCGGGCCAGAUUUUCCCAAAAUGGCCACCUCCAGAGAAAGGCAUGCUGCUGAAUAUUCCUGAGAGCUUUGCUUCCAGUGUCCCUCCCCACAACAAGUCACAUUCACCCCUGUUUUCCCAGGAUGUCCUCCAAGAAUUGCAGUCAGGUUUGACCCAGAUUCCUAUGGAGACUUUGCUUUGCCCUGGGACCCAGUGCAUCUGAAAGUCUGUGUGCACCUUUUAAAAAUGAGGUCUCCAUUUUCCCCAGUCCCAUGGAGCUCCUGCUCACAAGCUCCACUGGCCUUCAAUGUCAGAUGCUCCAGGGGCUCUUUCUCCCUGUGCCAGGUCCCCACACGUGGGAGUUUGAUGUGGGGCUCAGACUCACUGGUGAGUCUCUGUGAGCCAGUUACUUUCCAGUCUGUUGGGCUUCCCACCCAGGAGGUAUGGGGUUGGUUAUAUCAUGAAAUCACCCCUCCUACCUCUUGAUGUGGCCUCUUUUUCUUCUGGAGUAGGAUAUCUUUUUGAAGGUUUCUGGUACAUUUGGGUGGAGAUUGCUCAGUCUUUAGUUGUAAAUUUUGUUGUUUUUAGGAGAGAAGUUGAGCUCCAGUCCUUCUAUUCUGCCAUCUUAAUCCCAUCAUGACUCUUCCAUCAUUAUUUUCACUGACCAUUUACAAUAGAUUUGACUCUACCUCAGGCUUUUCCUAAUUUAAUCAUAUCUUUGCUGAGUUCCAACCCUAGAUUCCUAUUUUAUGGUUAGAGUCAGGAAAAUCUGUUUAAGAAUGUAAAUCACAUUUACACAUACUAUGUUUCUGUGGGAUUUAUAUUAUCUGUGCAUCUUUUCCCCCUCAGCCUAUGCAGCAAAGGCUAAAAUUAUUCAACUAUGGCAGCCUGCAUUAUUGUCCACACUCUUCUUCCCACCACACCCCAAACUGGUGUUCAACUCACAUCCUACUUUUCCCUUUUCUCUUUCAGAGAAUAUAACAGCUACUCCACUGGACCCCUCCACUGGUGAGUCAGCAUUUUCACUUAAUCGCCUUCCUGCAAGGACCAUUUUCCAUCCCAGCCUGAUGUCAAAGCUUUCAUUGGAGAUAGGUUAUAAGGAAUCCUGAGGACAAGUCUGAGAAAGCCAUACUCCAGAUUCAAAUAUCCUUGAUGAACAUGGAAAAUCUGCUUAUUUUUUAUAAGUUAUUAGAUUAUAUGAAAUCUCAGCUGUGGGUUUAUUGAAACUGUGGGUCAAUCAUUUAUUUUUUUCCAGCAGAGAGAACAGGAGAAUGAGACCUGAUUGUGGCCCAAGAAUUUUGGGGAGAUGUGUGGAAAGAUCUCUCUGGUUAUCCUACAUAAAAGUGCUGAAUAUAUGCCAAUGUGUAAAUGAGAGGCCAUUGUGUCCCAGAAUGAAGGAAGAGAAUGUACUUCCUGAAAGUGAUGCAGAAAUGAGGGCAUCAGAAGCACUUUGGAGUGUGGGAUACAGCAUGUGGAAUGUUGGGGUUAAGUAGAAGAAGAGCUCUAAGUGUUGCUCUUUGUAAUGGCAUCUAUGCCUUAUUCCCAGGUUAAGGAUGUUUUCCUUCUUUAACCUGAAACCCAAGGUUGUGGACCAAAGUUCCUAGUCAUUCUUGGACUCUUCCUGUGGUGUCCUGCCCAUUCUACGCUCUCUGUCUUGUGCUCAUGCAGGCAUUCUCUCUUUUCAGCCUCCCUGGCUUGGGGACUUGUGCCCUCUGAUCAUAAAGGCAUUGACUCUAGUCUGGGCAAAUAUACUGUGUCAUGUGUACCCUAUGGAGUCCAAUAUAAAAAAAAAUUCUCUCUCCUGAAUGAGGCCUGAGGCAGCAUGGCUAGCAUGUGGGUGUGGAAAUGGAGAUCCCCAGCUGUGGAGGUGGUUUUAGUUCACUGUUGUGCAGUUUGCCUCUUGCUAUUUGUUAGUAUCUCUGUAGGGAGUGAUAAUUCUCAUAAGUCUCACCAACUUCCUUUUGAACCAAGUUCCAGGGGAUGAUGGAGCUUUUGUUCAUUUUUAUUUUUCUUACAAUAACAUCAAUUUCUCCCAUUAUGUCUAAAGGGGGUCUCACAAUUACUGCUGCAAUAGGUGGGGUCCAAGGUCCCACAAAAGGUGAGACAAAUAUACCCCCUUCCAGGCCAGAACCUGGGGGAAGAGAUUGUACUGCAUUUAAAGAAAGGAGAUACUAUUGCUCUAAUCUGAGAAGCAUCAUCUUAUUCUUCCUUCUCUUCCCCACAUGCUGCAAUGGAAAUGAUGCAGUUCUAAGUUAUUCCAUGGGAAGCUACCAGGAUGUCAGUCUACAAGGGAUUUCCUUGUUGCUUCUGAGAAGUGGUCCCUGUGAAUAGAGACACAAGUGGAUUUGGUCUUAUGGGCUCAUGCCCUGGAGAAAGUAUUGGCCUGUCUCUUCUAUUAGUUUCAUUACCUAUGCAGGGAACCCUAAUUCUUUCUUCCCCACUGAGAACAGGGCUAUGAAAAGAAAGAAAAGAGGAGUGGGUAGCCAGGGUCAAGCUGUGAUAGAACUGAUGACAUUUGCAGAGGUGAAUUCAUAAUGAGGUCAGGUCAAAGCUUGGUUUGCAAAAAUAUUGCUCCCCGAGGAAGAGUCAAAUUUCUUGACUGGAAGAUUUCCUCUUAAUUUCAGAUGCUGUCACCUCGAUCUCUCAGGAUCCUGUCACAAGUGCUACUACCGUGACCUCUGCCACCAGGACUACUGAUGGUUGUUGGUUUAUAUUCAGUAAGGCCAACCCAUAAAUACUUUCUUCAUGGGUCUCCUGGGUUCUCUUUGUUUCCUAUCUCACAGUAGACUAUAUUUUGAGGGCAGGAAAGAUCAUGAGAAAAGCCCUCUUUUCUUUUAAUUAUUCUCUAAUUCCUUAUGGAUUUUGAAAUCAGGUCAACAGGCAGACACCAGGAAAGCCAGAAGUUUGCAGCUUCUUGUUUACCAAUUCUACCUGCAUGGCUCUUGAACUACUGGCACUUAAUAGGCAAAAUUUAUCCUUCAUAGAAAUGUCACGGGAGAGUCAUAAGUACGUGGCUCCAUGUGGCCUGAAAAUUGUUUGUUUCCUUUUUAAGGAUUUUCCCAAAAUAGGAAAUAGCUUUACAUUCAGGCUUCCUCAUGGCAGAAAGCUUUGAGUGUUACUCAGAAUGUUUCUGGGCUUUGGAAAUCCAUUAAGUAUCACAGUAUAGUCUUCUUAUUCCUGGUUCAUUAUCACCUCUCUUUCAAUAACCAGGUGAAGUCAGUGACAAAUGUGGUUAAUUCUGAAUAUAUGACAAAGUGGUAUAAAAUUUACAUAUACAGUGCAAUUUAAAUCUCAGAGUAACUCUAUGCAACAAGUAUUUUAAAGAUGAUGAAAUGAAAAAUUGCAAUAGAAACUUUCCCAUGAACAUUGUGCACCAAGAAAGGCCAUGAAUCUGUACAUAAACAAUGAAAGUCCUGAGGAAUCUUUUAUAAUAUUGCUUUAUACUCUUUCAGUGUUUGGGCCAUGGCUUGGCACUGGCUCAAGAAUCUGUACUGGGUAAGCUAUAGGUGAGAAUAUCAGUAUUUUUCUCUUAUCAGAAGAAAUCUGGAUUGCUUUGUGCCAUAGUAUAUGGAAAACCACUCCAUAUUGGUCUUCUUUCCAUUUUCUCUAAACUUCCAUUCUUCCUAGGUUUGCAUCCGAGGCUGCAUGUCCAGUUUCUUCUGGACAGGAAUUAGUUGACCAUCUUCUAGGGAUACACAUCUCAUGUUCUUUUUGACUUCAAUGAACUUAGCACCAUUUGAAGGAAUGAAUCAUAUCCUGCCUGCUUUUUUGGAAUGCUCCUGAUAAUGUGUUUUUUCUUUUUCAGGUGUCUUUGGGUGGAUUAAGAUAGGUGUGUGCUAGGCGAUAUCAUUGUGAAGGAAUCAGCCAAGGCCUUCUGCAUUUAACCCAUUGGAGUGGGCCAAAUUGUCCCUUGAUUUGUCUUGAUGGAACUACUUUCCAACCCAACCCUACCAUGUCUCUCUUACUUUGGAUCAAUUCACCUGCUUUCAAAUAAAAAUGAUCAGUGAGCAACAUCCAAAAGAGUAUUUCUUUGAAGUGUUGAGGUGGUGGUUGUAUACUAGCUUAAUCAUUCCAAUUGACAGAUCGUUUGCAAUCACCUAGUUCUUCCUUGUGUUACUCUGAAUAAAUGGUCUUCCUACAUGUUUAUCCAAUUUUCUUCCAAACAAGACACAAUCCUUAGGUAUAUUACAAGUGACUAGAGUUUUCUCUUAUGUGAAGGCACUAAUCAACAUUUCCUAGCUGCAAAUGUUCACUCUGACUCUACCAAACUCUAUUAUUAACCGAGACAUAAUUAUCUCUUACCUGCAGCAACUUGGCAAGAAAGAGGGAGGGAGCGCCUGAGGUCUGGGAACAGGCCUGACAUACAUGGGCUUCAGAAUUGUUAGGGUUUGACCUGGGCUCUCAGUUUGGAAAUGGGGCCCUCUUGUUGGACACAAUUUCACAAACACCAACAUCGCUCAAGGGCUCUCAGUGACUUUCAUAAUUUUGACCAAUCCAUAAUUUUGUUUCAAUAAGACAAAAACCAGUCAGAAAAUACCAAAGAUCCCCACUGCCAGCUAAUGACUAUAGCUUCAUUACCUGUUACAGCUUUAGCCUCACUCUAAUCUCUUCUUCUUGCUAAGGUUUGUUAAGUCAUCCAGUCACAGCAUUACUCAAGCUCCCUUACAGGCACCAAUCCAGAGCAGGAGCCUCCUUUCCUAAACCAUUUCCCGAAUUACCUCCUACAGCUCUAAAUCCUGCAAUAAAUCCUUUCGAACACCUUUGGACUACAGCAUCUCUCUGCAAUUCCCCAUGGUUUACGUUCUCCCCAGUGCAAUGAGUAGAAAGUCCAAUUGUUUUUUUCACUUUAGCCGUGUUCCUGGUGGGUUUUGGCCGGAGGGCUCUGACACCAAAUGUAUUAAUGGAAUGGACAUCAUAUAAAAACAAAGCAUGGUACCUUUUUCUUCCUCCUUGGGACAUUUACUUGGCUCCUUUUUGCCCAGUUGUGAGAAGCUUGCUAAAUGGAACCUUUAAAAUUGCCUAAGCUCUCACCAGCAGUAAAUGAAGGAGUGCAACAUUCCAGGAAAACAUUAAUGCCAUUUUUAAGGAAAUAACCGAGGUUGGAAUUUGAUGCUUACUAAAUCUUUUCCUUAUUUCAACCUGCACCUGAUGAGAACCAUUGCUCAUAAUGAUUUAUUGAGAAAAGGCAAUUAAAUUAAUAGGUUUUAGCUAGAUGUUUUUAGACCAACAAUUUCAUAGCAGCACAUUAGUAUGUUAUAAACAUUACCACCGAAAAGUUUAGAGGAUUUAGGUAUGUUCUAAUUUGAGCAGCUUGUUUUCUUUUUAAAUUUCAUUUACAAAUCUGUAAGAAUAUACCUGGUUGUUCAGAAAGUGUUUUCCUAGUACAGCCAGUAAUUCUUGCAAAAUAUCUCCAUAUCAUUUUAUAAUGGACUUGGAUGAUUCUCAAAAAAUUCUCCCUUUUCUCUCCUCCCUCUUGCUGUCUGCUCCUCCCUCUCCCUUAAUUAAGAAAAUAGUUGAGUUUGGAUUUUGAUGCUUACUAAAUCAAAAACCACACAUAUGACUACAUUCUCAUGUUGUAUGUGGCAGAAAAAGCCCCUUAAAAUUUUUUUUAUUAAAGUACAGUUGAUGUAGUGAUGUGUCAAUUUCUGCUGUUCAGCAAAGAAGAAAAAUUAUCUUAUGCCACUUAAGAAUAGGCAGAGGAGACUAUUAAAGGUCAAGUUAGGGGUGUCUCCUGAUGGUUUGAACUGCAUGUGAUAUUGAGAUAAGCUGGGACCUGGGACUUGGAAUCCUUUAAUGGAAUGCUUGCACCUGGACAACAUCUCCUCCAGCAGCAGAAUGCAAAGAA
rnacentral:lncRNA from 1 species